rnacentral:siRNA from 1 species
AGGUUACGCAAACGAGUUGCUGCA